rnacentral:rRNA from 1 species
AUUGAACGCUGGCGGCAUGCUUUACACAUGCAAGUCGAACGGUAACAGGCCUUCGGGUGCUGACGAGUGGCGCACGGGUGAGUAAUGCAUCGGAACGUACCCAGAGGUGGGGGAUAACGCAGCGAAAGCUGUGCUAAUACCGCAUGUGAUCUGAGGAUGAAAGCGGGGGACCGAGCAGCAAUGUUUGGCCUCGCGCCUUUGGAGCGGCCGAUGUCGGAUUAGCUAGUUGGUGGGGUAAAGGCCUACCAAGGCGACGAUCCGUAGCUGGUCUGAGAGGACGACCAGCAACACUGGGACUGAGACACGGCCCAGACUCCUACGGGAGGCAGCAGUGGGGAAUUUUGGACAAUGGGCGCAAGCCUGAUCCAGCAAUGCCGCGUGCGGGAAGAAGGCAUUCGGGUUGUAAACCGCUUUUGGCAGGAACGAAACGGUGUCCGCUAAUACCGGGCGCUAAUGACGGUACCUGCAGAAUAAGCACCGGCUAACUACGUG